GGGUUGUGAGGUUAAGCGACUAAGCGUACACGGUGGAUGCCCUGGCAGUCAGAGGCGAUGAAGGACGUGCUAAUCUGCGAAAAGCGUCGGUAAGGUGAUAUGAACCGUUACAGCCGGCGAUGUCCGAAUGGGGAAACCCAGUGCAAUUCGUUGCACUAUCGUUAACUGAAUACAUAGGUUAACGAGGCGAACCGGGGGAACUGAAACAUC
rnacentral:rRNA from 1 species